AACCAAUUAGAAGCGCCCUAGGCGAAUCUGUGGCGCGUGGCGUCAUUCUUCUCUCGAAAAUCAUCGCGACAGGAUGUAUCGCCGGUCGAAUUUGCGUAACCUCGACUACGCAGUUAUUAACUGAUUAAGUGUAACUUUGAAGGCGGGAAAAAUUCCAAUAUGGACGCUAUGGAGACGCAAUAAAAUUUGAUAUUUUGUGAUCGCGCGCAAUGCGAUCGUUAGAGUUAGUUUUUACUUCGUAAUAGUGAAUUAUAAUAUUCUUUCAUGAAAAUAGAGUCAGUGUUUGUUCGCCGAUUAUAAUUUAAACGAACGUGUUAAUAGUUUUUUAUUUAUUAUAUAUUUUUUUCUUUUUUAAAUAUUCGUUUCCAUAUAUAUUCGAUUCAGUGUUUCGAAAAAAGAAUAAAGCGAUCAUCCAUCACGCGAAGAGAUAUUUUUAAUGAUGAAUAAAUAUCGAUGGCAAUGUUCUUCGCAUCUAAUGGUGAGUCGCAUGCAUUUUUAUUCCUCUGGUCAUUCAAUCAUGUUGUAGGAUGAAAGAUCCGAAUCAACACGAAUGACUGGUUGUAUACGUAGAUUUUUUGUACGAGCACAGUGACCGCGAGUAUUAUACUCGUGAAUAGUAACAUUUUGUAUUUUUUUUGCAUUUUAUUUAUUAGUUCAGGAUAGGUCUUUUUGUGCAUCGCGUUUUUGAAUGUUAAUUAAUUUUGUAAUAAUAAUACAUUAAUAUAAUAUUUCUAAAAUCAUCAUAUUAUUAUCUUGAAAAUUAUUAUUAUAAUUUAUUCCUUUCGUUCAAUAAAUCUUAUGUACAAGAAGACAUUUCGCGAUAGAUAGAUUUCAGAAUCAAAGCAACGAAUUUUAAAUAUUUUUGUAUUUUUUCGAAUAUAUGCUUUGAUUAAGAGAUCGUCUAAGGAUAUUUUUAUUAAUAUUUAAUUUAUGUAUCAGUUA